AACGUACGCUGGCGGCACGCUUAACACAUGCAAGUCGAACGAAGUAGCAAUACUUAGUGGCAGACGGGUGAGUAACAUGUGGGUAUCUGCCCCUUUGGCCUGGAAUAACACGAGGAAACUUGUGCUAAUACCGGAUAAGUCUUUACGGAGAAAGCUUUAUGCACCAUUGGAUGAGCCCCGCACUUGAUUAGUUUGUUGGUGGGGUAAUGGCCUACCAAGACUGUGAUCAAUAGCUGAUUUGAGAGGAUGAUCAGCCACAUUGGGACUGAGACACGGCCCAAACUCCUACGGGAGGCAGCAGUGGGGAAUCUUGCACAAUGGAGGAAACUCUGAUGCAGCGAUGCCGCGUGAGUGAAGAAGGCCCUUGGGUUGUAAAGCUCUUUCGUCGGGGAAGAAAAUGACUGUACCCGAAUAAGAAGGUCCGGCUAACUUCGUGCCAGCAGCCGCGGUAAUACGAAGGGACCUAGCGUAGUUCGGAAUUACUGGGCUUAAAGAGUUCGUAGGUGGUUGAAAAAGUUAGUGGUGAAAUCCCAGAGCUUAACUCUGGAACUGCCAUUAAAACUUUUCAGCUAGAGUAUGAUAGAGGAAAGCAGAAUUUCUAGUGUAGAGGUGAAAUUCGUAGAUAUUAGAAAGAAUACCAAUUGCGAAGGCAGCUUUCUGGAUCAUUACUGACACUGAGGAACGAAAGCAUGGGUAGCGAAGAGGAUUAGAUACCCUCGUAGUCCAUGCCGUAAACGAUGUGUGUUAGACGUUGGAAAUUUAUUUUCAGUGUCGCAGCGAAAGCGAUAAACACACCGCCUGGGGAGUACGACCGCAAGGUUAAAACUCAAAUGAAUUGACGGGGACCCGCACAAGUAGUGGAGCAUGUGGUUUAAUUCGAAGAUACGCGCAGAACCUUACCAACACUUGACAUGUUCGUCGCGACUCUAAGAGAUUAGAGUUUUCGGUUCGGCCGGACGAAACACAGGUGCUGCAUGGCUGUCGUCAGCUCGUGUCGUGAGAUGUUGGGUUAAGUCCCGCAACGAGCGCAACCCUCACUUUUAGUUGCCAUCAUUAAGUUGGGCACUCUGAAAGAACUGCCAGUGAUAAGCUGGAGGAAGGUGGGGAUGACGUCAAGUCCUCAUGGCCCUUACGUGUUGGGCUACACACGUGCUACAAUGGUAUCUACAACAGGAAGCAAGACUGCGAGGUCAAGCAAAUCCUUAAAAGAUACCUCAGUUCGGAUUGCACUCUGCAACUCGAGUGCAUGAAGCUGGAAUUACUAGUAAUCGUGGAUCAGCGUGCCACGGUGAAUGCGUUCCCGGGUCU
rnacentral:rRNA from 1 species